rnacentral:rRNA from 1 species
CAGCCGCCGCGGUAAAACGUAGGUGGCAAGCGUUGUCCGGAAUUAUUGGGCGUAAAGGGCUCGCAGGCGGUUUCUUAAGUCUGAUGUGAAAGCCCCCGGCUCAACCGGGGAGGGUCAUUGGAAACUGGGAAAUUUGAGUGCAGAAGAGGAGAGUGGAAUUCCACGUGUAGCGGUGAAAUGCGUAGAGAUGUGGAGGAACACCAGUGGCGAAGGCGACUCUCUGGUCUGUAACUGACGCUGAGGAGCGAAAGCGUGGGGAGCGAACAGGAUUAGAUACCCCCGUAGUCCCUGUCUCUUAUAC